AAAAAAAAAUCAAAUUAAAUUCUUAUAAGGUACUCUCUCCGUUCCCCGUUUUAGAAUCCCUCUGAAUACGAGAGAAAUUUGAAGGUAAAGUUAAUUUUAUUUUUAACUCAAAAUUUUUAUUCAAAAAUGAGAGGAUUUAAAAGGAUGGAAAAUGAUGAAAAAAUUAAAUAUUUUAUAUUAUUACUUAAAGUAAUUUUUUAAAAUAAAUCAUUUAUUUAUUACAUUAAUAUGUAAGAAUAAUAUAGUAAUAUUAUAAUUUAAUUUUUUUCCUUCUUUUCUCUUGUUCUAAACUCAAAAAAAAUAAUUAAAAUUUUAUCCAUUCCCUUCCUUUUACAAGAAAAAAUUAUAAUACAUUUCCAUUUAACAAGUAACAAUAAAUAUAUACAUAUUGUUACUCUUUUUGUGGGGGUAAACAUGAUAAAAAAUUAAAAAAAAUAAGAAUUUAUAGCCCAUCAAAAAUAUCUAGCAAGCCCAAAUUUGAUAGCUUUAUAAAAGGAGUAUUUCCUUCCAUCUUAUCUUUCUAAUCUUCUCACUGACAGUCCCUUCUCGACUCGACUCCUUCCCUCUCUUGUGAAUUGGUUCAGCUGCAGAGAAAGCCGAACUCAAAGGUACGGCUAGUAUACAUCUUCUUCACUAUGCUCCUCCUGCUAGUAAAGGUUUUCACGUGUUACAUAUAGACCUUAACGAACCUCCAAAUUUACAGAAUUAUCUGAGUCUCAAAAAUACAAUCUACAUGUUUGCUUGCCAUUGAAAAAAAUUGGUGUUUUUGAGUAUCUGUAGCUCAAUAGCAAUUGGGUUUUUUUGAUUGAGAGUAAUCUCAUUAUUCUACUAUUUCAAUUUUUUAACUUUUAUUGUCCUGAAAUCAUGAAUGGAUCAGUCUAUUUUAUUUUUAUUUUUUUCCUUUUCGGAUAGAAUUGUCUAGGACAAUUUUGAAUUGGAUCAAGACUUAAGCCAAAGACUAUCAAAUAUAGCCACUAGAAAGCUCGAAUCAAUUUUAUCUGAUAUUAGUAAUAUGCUAUUUUAAAGAAAUGUUUGUAAUAUAUUCUUAGCAAUUAGGAUAUUAUUUUUACUUCCAGCUGAAUUCAUAAGACUAUUAUUUUGGUUUGAGACCCUGUUGUCUUCCUAAUUAAACAUUAAAUUGUUAGGUUAAAAAAGGAAAAAUUGGAUUUUUCAAUUCAGCCUAUAAUUCAGGUGGUUCUUUUUCAAUUGCCUUUGAAUAGGAUAUUUGUAGAGGGUGUUGUAAAUUAGUAGUAUCUGAAAAUAUUCUUUAAUUUUUUUUUAAUAAAAUGUUUGGAAGUAAAAGAGAAGUAUAUUUAUAAUUUCACGAGAAUAUUAAAAGGGAUUUGAACCCCAAAAUCCAUCCUCACAGUAACCAUGUAAAUGGCAUUUCUCAUGACCACCUAAAAUUGAGGAGUACAAACCAAAAAAGGAACAGAUCCAAACAAAAAUUAUGGUUCACACUUCUCUCUUCCCUUCUUGCACACUCACUCGUAUUCUAUUUACUUUCUCAAGCAUGAAGAAAGUUCUGGAGUUUGCAUACCAUCAAGGACAGAUUAAAACUGAAAUUGAACACUAGUGCAGAUAAAUUGCAUAUAUUUGCAUGUACAGUAAAACUCAUAGUUUGGUGUGAAGCAAUGUCAGUCCCCUUGCAUCCCCACACUUUUUGUAUAUACGUAUAACACUACGAUUUAGGAAUGAUCUUCUUGUGCAAUAUGAGAUACUGAUUUGGAUUGUAUAGAUACACACACUUAUAUUGUAAUAACUUGAAUUUUCAAAUUAAUAUUAAAGUAAAAUUUUAGUAAGUAGAAUUUUUAUUUUAAUAAUAUUUAUGGUACAUGGGUGUAUAUGCGCACUGUGGUGUGAAUACCUGUGAUUGAGUAAAUAUAUAUAAGUACUGUGUAUGAGUAAAUUAAUCAAAAAUAAUUUGAAUAUCGGAAGCAAAUAAAAAGUUGAGUAUGUAAAAUUUAUAGUAUGCAUUAAAUGAAGAAUAUCAAAUAAAUUUGAUAAUAGUGGAUUAUUUUAUGUAUGAGAAAAAUAUCAUGGAGCAUAAGUCAUGAUACAUAUUUUUUUAGUGUAAAUUAGAUUUGUAAAUUAUGAUAAAUUAUAUAUAUAUUGGGCUAAGAAUGCUUAGCUUAAGUGGAGUUUUUAAAAAAAACAAACAAACACAGGAGGUGGCACAAUAGAAAGCUGUAUAUUUAAUAAGGUAGUACUUAGUAAGCUAGGCUAUCAGUUGGAGUGCUAGGGAGUUAAGCAGGAGCUGGGAAAAGGAAAAGUGAGUGAUAGACACGAUAAGUGAAGCAGGAGCUGUCCUCGCCUGGAAAAAAAUUAGACUUACACUCAACUAUGCUAUGGGACAACAAAACAAGGAAGUUUUAGUGAGAAUCACGGUUUAGAGGCUGUAAGAAGGAAAAAAAAAGACUAAACCAACUUCUCUUCUCUUCUUCCAUCCGAUAAUCACUCUCUUUAUCUUCUCCUCACUGUCAUCCUUCCCCUGCACAAUCAAGCUUGCCGAGGCUCAUCCUGCCCAGUUUGGGUUGCCAAGCCUAAGACUCUUAUUUCAGUUCCAGUGUUAUCAAGCAAAGGUAAUGUAUAUGUGUUUUAUGUAUAUAUACAAACAUUUGUUUGUUAAAGUGAACUCUGUUAAUUAUGCGAAUUGAGUGAUUGAUUUAACUGUAAAUAAGUGUGAUUGCAAAGUUUGGAAAAGGAAAUCUUUAUGUGAUAUAUCAGUAAUCUAUGAAGUAAAAGUUUAAAAAAAAGAAGAGAAACUGUUAGUUCACUAAUUGCUUAACUAUUCGUGCUUUGUCUGUGUUUGGACUAAAUUUAGGCAUAAAGAGAUAGGUUGGGCUGUGGAGUAAUAAGGAUGUUAAUAUGGGUUUAUGUUGUAAACCAAUAGCUGCGAAAUUAGUAACUUAGCACUGUGCCUACCAACUGUUCGAUAAAAGUUCUAAAAAAACUUUUUGGUUAAAAAACUGAAUAUUAGAACAAAGUAAAGCUUGGGCUUGAUUUGUUUAUCAUACGUGAUGUUAAUUAGGAGGUUUGAAGGUACCAGAUUAGAGUGAAAAGCAAUUUCAAGCUAAAACGAAAGUAAAAGAGAAAAAAAACUUAGUGUGGCUAGCCAUAUCUGUGUAUCAAAUCUGAAAUGAAAAUGUUAUAACCUCUAAAACGCAUUCUCAUAUGGUAUGUAUAAAAUACUUAAAGUUUGUUUUAAUUUAGUAGAUGAGUUAAAAGUUAUAAGGCCGCAAAUUAGGCAUGUUGGAGCAGGGCUGCUGCCUAUGGCAGCAGCAGUGGUGAUGCUUGGCAAGGGCUGGGGCCUCCCUUGGGCGCUCAAUCAACACACUUGAAUUAUAAAGGGUGGAUAUAUCAUCUAUUUAGUAGCUAAAGUUCAAUGACCAGGCAUGGUGGUUAAGUUUUUGGUGAAGUGGCGUAAUAGGCCUCCGGAUGAUAGUACAUGGCUUAGUACUGAGGAGUUCUGUCGUCUUGAUUCAUACCUUUUUGAGAGAUACGAGACUUUCACUUCGUCAGAGACUUCAUUUUUGUAGCAGAGGAUAGGAAUCGAUCCAUGAGACAUUGUCGUCGUGGAUGAUUCGCUAUUUAGUUAUUUAUUUAUCAGUGCGACACUGUCUAUUUAUUUAUAAGUUAUUUAUUUAGAGACCCAAUUAUUAAUGGGUUUAGGAUUAUUAUAGUUUUUCUUAUAUUAUAAAUAUGUAAGUCAUGACAUAUUAUUGGACACACUUUGAUAUUGAAAUUAUCCUAAUUAUUGGUUGCAAUCAAUACUUUUUUUCCUUACUGUGGUUGGAAAACCCUAGGAGUAGUGGUUCUCUUGUGGUUGGAUCACCCUAGUUCAUUGAUUUACCACUUCCAAUUAAUUAUUUGCUCAUCAAUUUAUGUCCUACAUCAGUGAUUACAGAGUGAUUUCAUAGACUUGGAAUGGCAGAAGUAAGCCUUGGUGUUCUUAUAAAUAUUGUGGAUGAGGAAUGGAUGAGAGACACUCUGCCUGAUGAUGGUACUAAUGUUUCUUACUUAUUCUCAUGUUUACAUCGCACUUGCAUUCACAUAGUAACUUUCGUCGUCACUUCUGGCACACUUUCCAUGUUAUUUUUAUUUUCCUUUGCAGAUCUUCCGCUGCCGCCUGUACUUGUUCCUCGAACUGAGGAAAAUGAAGAUUCAAGUAUGUCUUCCAUUGCUUCACCAUUAAAAAACUUCCUUUUAAACAUACCAUUUUAGAAUGUUUACGGUUUUUCUGUUUCGAUUCCUAUGCUAUGUUGCUUUAUUAUUAAACUGUGUAUGUUGUUACUAGUCAAAUUAAUAAAUUGAAGGUUCAUCGAUGUUUUGAUAUGAGUGUGAAAGGUAUAGGAUUGUUAGGGUAGAUUCUGAUAAUUAUUUAGUAACAAAAAGUGUGUUUGACCUUUGGUUAAUCAUAUUGAGUUGACUCUGUCUAGAUCAAUGCAUUCAACUGCAGAAAUACUGAAGCCAUAUACAAGAUUUUUAAGUCAUGGUCUAUACAACAUAUGAUUGCUCUUGAGUUUAGUAGGCAUAUUAUUUAUUGCCAUCUGCAUGAUGACAUCAUACUCUGUUUGGGCAGAUUAGGCCUGCUACAUUUUAUUAAUGUUAUUUAAUAGACCCUUUCUUUUGUCGUUUUUUCGAGAGAACAAGUGAAAGAAAUUCACACACUCGUGUGACAUCAUACUCUGUGUGUUUCGGCAGAAUAGUCCUGCUACAUUUUAUUAAUGUUUUAUUUAACGGUCCUUUUUUUUUUGUUCUUUUUGAGGGAACAUGUGAAAUAAAUUCAUGAACACUCGUAUUUAUAUACCGUUAUUUCCGCAUCUUUACACUCAAUUCGAGUAAACUCCACACCUUUCUCCCUACUUUUCUUGAAUGAGUAAGAUUUCUAUGUUAAAGACAGGGACGGAGCCACAUGUAUAUUGGAGGGGGCCACCCCCCCCAAAGGUUUGAAAUUUUUGUAAGACUCACCCCCAAAGUUUGAAAAUUUUAUAAAACUCACUUGUACAUUUGGUUUGGUUUGAAAUUUUGUAAGGCUACGGUCCCCUCAAGUUCUGACGAAGCUUUGAUAUGUUUUAAAAGACUUUUUUUGCUAUAUUUUAUUAUCUUUGUCAAAGCAAAUUCUAUUAUCAUAUUAUUUUUGUUUUAGUAAAAAUAUGUUUUGUAAUAGUGAAAUUUUACUUUUUAGUGAUGAAUAUAUUUUAUGCUGUUAAAAUUUUUACUCCGUCCCUGGUUAAAGAUAAAAGCCAAUGUGAUAGACAUUCGUAUCCAACUGUGGUGGACAGUGGAGGUGCCAAAAUAAUUUUAGAAGUACAAAUAAUUUAUACUUGUGUUUUGCUUUUGACCUUCUGUUGCUGUUAUUGAUUUCAAUGAAACAGUUGGCUGUGCUACACUCAAUCUUGUUUAUGGCUGCGUCACUAUAAACUGCUUUCUUAUUGACUUCACCUUUGUUCGUCAAGACUUUUACUGCUCUUGUAUUAGCUAAUGUGUAUUUAUUAUGCUCAUCGGAUCAGGAGACUCCACAAGUUGAAGGGGAUGCUUGGCAUGAUCUCGCAUUAGGAACUCAGUAAGGGACCAUUUUCAGUCGGCAGCAUUUCCUCUCAGAUAAUACCAACCUAGCUUUUGUAGACAAUUAAAUCGACAAGGCAUUGCAUAUAGGCAGAUAAGUAUCUUAUUCACAGCCCUAUCAAUGUACGUAUAUCCAACAAAGCAACUUUGGACAUCAUAUUGGUAUAAUAUGAAAAUCAAAUAUUCCCGGAUUUGUCAUGCAUUACUUGCAAUGUGUCUAUAACUUCCAGUUGCCAGAUGUAUGUAGAGAUUUGUCCAGAAAUGUUGCAGUUUCUCAGUAGCCUGAAUUUAGGAUGAAGUAUGUCAAAAUAAUUAAUGAAGGAUCAGAUUCAUAAACCUUUAUGCCAAUAGACAUAUUACACAAUCAUUCACCAUACAAUUUCUUUAUGCCUGUGCUGCUGCUUGCUUAAGUUAGGAAAUCCCUGAAUAGAGACAUAUUACACAAUCAUUCACCAUACUAACGGGGUAUUUGUUUAGAGCUUAUUGGGUCUGAAUGAGUUAAGGGGUGUUUGUUUAGAGCUUAUUGGGUCUGAAUGAGUCAACAACUGUUUGUUUAUAAAUUCUGAAAUUUGAAUGGGACUGAAUAGAAUUGACCUAUUCUAUCAAAAAAUUGUGGCUGGCUCGCUCGGUUAAUAGGCUGAAUGGAAUAUUUACUUAAAUACCCUCGCAUAAUAGAAUAAAUUACUUAAAUAUCUGCUACUUUCUUUAAUCUUCAUGGGCAUUUUGUUCUGUUCUCAAAAUCGCCACAACGGG
rnacentral:lncRNA from 1 species